GGACAUGUGUAGCUCAAUGGUAGCGCAUUUGCUUUGCAUGCAGAAGGUUCCAGAUUUAAUCCCUGGCACCUCCA